AUUGAACGCUGGCGGCAUGCCUUACACAUACAAGUCGAACGGCAGCACGGGUGCUUGCACCUGGUGGCGAGUGGCGAACGGGUGAGUAAUACAUCGGAACAUGUCCUGUAGUGGGGGAUAGCCCGGCGAAAGCCGGAUUAAUACCGCAUACGAUCUACGGAUGAAAGCGGGGGACCUUCGGGCCUCGCGCUAUAGGGUUGGCCGAUGGCUGAUUAGCUAGUUGGUGGGGUAAAGGCCUACCAAGGCGACGAUCAGUAGCUGGUCUGAGAGGACGACCAGCCACACUGGGACUGAGACACGGCCCAGACUCCUACGGGAGGCAGCAGUGGGGAAUUUUGGACAAUGGGCGAAAGCCUGAUCCAGCAAUGCCGCGUGUGUGAAGAAGGCCUUCGGGUUGUAAAGCACUUUUGUCCGGAAAGAAAUCCUUGGCUCUAAUACAGUCGGGGGAUGACGGUACCGGAAGAAUAAGCACCGGCUAACUACGUG
rnacentral:rRNA from 1 species